rnacentral:tRNA from 1 species
AGUAGGGUCAGCUAAACAAAAGCUAUCGGGCCCAUACCCCGAAAAUGAUGGUUCAACCCCUUCCUCUACUA